rnacentral:rRNA from 1 species
GACGAACGCUGGCGGCGUGCUUAACACAUGCAAGUCGAACGGAAAGGCCCUGCUUUUGUGGGGUGCUCGAGUGGCGAACGGGUGAGUAACACGUGAGUAACCUGCCCUUGACUUUGGGAUAACUUCAGGAAACUGGGGCUAAUACCGGAUAGGAGCUCCUGCUGCAUGGUGGGGGUUGGAAAGUUUCGGCGGUUGGGGAUGGACUCGCGGCUUAUCAGCUUGUUGGUGGGGUAGUGGCUUACCAAGGCUUUGACGGGUAGCCGGCCUGAGAGGGUGACCGGCCACAUUGGGACUGAGAUACGGCCCAGACUCCUACGGGAGGCAGCAGUGGGGAAUAUUGCACAAUGGGCGGAAGCCUGAUGCGGCAACGCCGCGUGAGGGAUGACGGCCUUCGGGUUGUAAACCUCUUUUAGCAGGGAAGAAGCGAGAGUGACGGUACCUGCAGAAAAAGCGCCGGCUAACUACGUG